CUGAGCCAGCCGCUAGAGGUCGCUCUGAGCCAGAGCCUUGGUCAACUGGGCACCAAAGUAAAAUCACAGGGAACUGAAGGCUGCUAGUAGCCUGGGAGACAUGGCAGCAGUGUGGCUCCUAUUUUUAAACUUGCUGCUCUGGGGCGUGUGAGUAUAUGAAGUCUUGCCGAGUACACAGCUUCAUCGGCUGGAACUAACAUCUAGUGCCCAACCGGAGAAACGGAGAACCACAGGAUCCUGCCCAUGUUCCUAGAAAACACCUAUUUCUCUAUCCACACACAGAAGGAAUACUUGGCUGAGAAGACUUGGCAGAAAAGGCACUCACCUAUCAGGCUCUUAUCAGCUGGCUGUGAAUUCUGAUCCAGGCUGAAAAAAACAAAAUGGCGGAUCCUGAUGGUCCAUGACAGCAUUUUGAUGUUAAUUCAGUACUGCUUGAAAGGUGCCAACACACUGACCUUGGCAAUAUCUUUCAAAGAACAGACAUUUUAAAUCUGAAGUCCAAGUGCAUCUUUUAAAGUGGAUCGUGCCUGUACUCCUCUAAAUUCAUCAGGAAAAGCAAGAGAAGGGUUAUUCUUUAGCAAGUAUGAAAACUUCUGCCAGUUUACAGCCUACAGGGAAAUCUGGAAAUUCAAGUUUCCCAGACAGAUUCUUGAAAAUGCGCCCAUUCCAAGCCUCAGCAUUCCACUGUUCUUUACUAAGGUUCUUCACAGUAAAAUAAAAGACUUAUUAGAAAUGUGUAUUUGGUAUCUUUUACACUUG